rnacentral:lncRNA from 1 species
GUCGACGUUCGUUGCUCACCAGAGAAGUCAAAGUCUGUCAGGUCUCCAGGCUGGCAAGGUAUCACACACGGUCUCUCUAUUUAAAAAAAAAAAAAAAAAAACACAACUCUUUGUGGAUUUUCGCUCUUUUCCUGCUCUUAGCUAGAAUAAUUUGAUGAUGAUUCGGUAUCAUUGGCAAGGCUUUUUAAUUUUAAAACUAAUAUUCUCUUGUUUAUUCAUUCCGAGCUUGGUUAUAUUUCUGUUUUCAAUUCUUAUAUUUCCCUGAUGAAUUUUUAUUUCUUUUUUUUUCAUAAUUUUUCUUGGCAAUACGUAUAAGUUAAUUAAUUAAAAAUUUAAGAACGGAUAACAAAGCCACGAACAUAUUACAAUAUUACCGAAUGCGAUAAAAAUUGGAAAGCAACCGCAAACAAAUUAAUUGAUGAGAUUAGUUUAUCAAACAAGUAUAACCGCAUCAUAGGCAUUUUCUCUUUGAUGUCCUGGCAGUUUUCCGAUCAAACAACUCGCCUAAUAAAAUUUUUAAUUCAGUUAUUCCAUUAUUUUCCCGCUCCAGCGACAUUUCUCCACUCAGUCCUGUUCUCUUGUAAACUUCAGUAGCGAUGGCAUUCUGACAUGUAUAUAGGAAUAAGAAACUUAAUGCAGUUAUCUCCAAGGGAUGAUAAAGCACUCAUUCCGAAUUAUAUAACGAUAAUACAGCAUUCGAAAAUCUUAUUUUAUUCUCUAAGCAUUUGGGUAAAAAGGAAACAUACUUUAUGUAUAGUUUUUUUAGAAAAAUGGCACAUAUAGUCGUCGAAACUUGCAGAUUAACGUACAGUAUUUUGUUUCCGUAUCAAAUGUUAAAGGAAAUCCUCCGCUAUGCUAUAGUUUUAAAUAAUUAAAAAUGGUAAUUUAUAUAUUACGAAUGGGCAAAAUUUUGUUCAAGUUAAAAUUUGGAAGUUUUGCGAUAAGUUUAAGUCGAACUGUUUCAUCAGAAACGUCUCCUCAUGCUUCGUUAGAAUCAAACAGGAUCAUGCAAUAUUCGUGGUAUCCAUACAUCUCUCCCAUCAUGAAUCUUCAUUGAUUGCAUGGAAUUGAUCAAUUCAAUACGGCGAAACGUGGCCGAAAUGGUGAUGGAAGAAAAAUCCAACAGAUGCAUGAACACAGUUUAUUUGACACGUAACGUUAGCGUUGUCCCCAGUAAUGUGCGAAACGUUGUUGAAAAUUAAUGUCACGUCAGCGUAACUAUUCAACAACAAAAACGGCUAGCAAUAACAUAAAAUAUAAAUUUAAACAGAUUGCGUAGAAGGUAUAUAUAUAUUUAGGUUAAGGUCAUUUUACAGUAGAUUAAAUCUUCGUUUUUUUUAUUUCGCAUUUUUUCUAACAGUCUCUAAGGCAUAAAAUUUAAACAUAAUUUAGAUGUUUGAGAGCGAUAUUGUUUACUUUAUCAAAUGUUUUUCUUUUUAUUGGCAAGUAAACAUCAAGAAAUGCCAUUAAUUUAAAAUACAGAAGUAUUUUAAUUUUUUUUUUUUUUUUUCCGCAUUAAACGGCGCGUUAAAAUAAGAACAUUUUGCUUAUUUCAGUUUUAUAAUUUUAUAAAAAUAUACUGUUGCGACGAAUAUUUUCGUUAUUUCUACGUUAACCAAGAAUAUAGCUAAUCAUUAUAUACCAUUGAUGAUGAUAAAAUAUAAGGAUAGAAACUGGGAAAACUUCAGCAUAUUCCAAAACGUAUCACUUUGUAGCGGGCGUGACAGACCGAUUUUAUUAUCCAAACUGUGUAAAUUUAUUACGUCAGGUGUAUGUUUAUUUUAAAAACUGGUGCAGAAUUAUGAAAACACAAAAUAGAAAAAAAAUUCCACUGGAUAACCGAAGGAUAUAAGAUGAAGUGGAAGACAACAUAUUUCUUGAUGUCUGAGAUUGUAGCAGAUGUUUCUUCUAAAUUAAUAUCGAUCACGGCAAAUGCCCGAUGAUUUUCCGUCGAAAUUGGCAGUGGUGUGUUUGAUGGCUGCCGUCUUUUCACUCCAGAUGGCAAUGGCUACGAAAGCUUUCCCUUUCUAUCACACUUUGGAGCGAAUUUUUGUUUUAAUUACCGUCUCUCCUUCGUAUCCAGUUUUCCAACAGUGUCAAUCAACCUUACAAUAUUUUAUAAUAACAUUUAUAAUUAAUUAAUGGUUUGCCAGGCAUUUUCUUCAUUAUAUUCAAAGAAUUGGUAACAUUCUUGAACAUCUACUCCAUGCUGAUGAUGGCGAAUAAUGGACAGAUUUACACUGCAGUGUUUCUUCAAUAUAUUAUAAUAUUUGUGUUUGAUUACCUGUUUCUUGUGAAGAGACUAUAAGUAGGAUGAAUAGUUUUUAUGUAAGAACAUUUUCAGAGACAAUACUCAUCAUUCAUCCAAUUUAGAGGCAUGACACAGGUGUUCAACAGUUUUACCAAUGAGAAAAAGACUAAUAUAUCUAGUUAGAAUCCUAAAUAUUUUGCUGAUAAAAAUUAUAUUGUUAUUUUUAACUUUCUACUUCAAUUAUUAAUAAGGAAUCUAACUAAUUAUAUAUAAAUCUUUAGAAGUUAAAAAC